rnacentral:rRNA from 1 species
UGGGGAAUAUUGGACAAUGGGCGCAAGCCUGACGGAGCAAUACCGCGUGAGGGAGGAAGGCUUUUGGGUUGUAAACCUCUUUUCUCAAGGAAGAAGAUCUGACGGUACUUGAGGAAUCAGCAUCGGCUAACUCCGUGCCAGCAGCCGCGGUAAUACGGAGGAUGCAAGCGUUAUCCGGAAUGAUUGGGCGUAAAGCGUCUGCAGGUGGCUAUGCAAGUCUGCUGUUAAAGAGUGGAGCUCAACUCCAUAAGGGCAGUGGAAACUGCGUAACUAGAGUACGUUCGGGGUAGAGGGAAUUCCUGGUGUAGCGGUGAAAUGCGUAGAUAUCAGGAAGAACACCGGUGGCGAAAGCGCUCUACUAGGCCGUAACUGACACUGAGAGACGAAAGCUAAGGGAGCGAAUGGGAUUAGAUACCCCCGUAGUCC